rnacentral:rRNA from 1 species
UACGUAGGGGGCAAGCGUUAUCCGGAUUUAUUGGGCGUAAAGCGCGCGUAGGCGGGCUGUUAAGCGAGAUGUGAAAUCUGGGGGCUCAACCCGCAGCUUGCAUCUCGAACUGGCAGCCUUGAGUCUGGUAGAGGAGUGUGGAAUUCCCAGUGUAGCGGUGAAAUGCGCAGAUAUUGGGAGGAACACCAGUGGCGAAGGCGGCACUCUGGGCCACGACUGACGCUGAGGCGCGAAAGCUAGGGGAGCGAACAGG